CACUCCUACGGGAGGCAGCAGUGGGGAAUUUUGGACAAUGGGCGAAAGCCUGAUCCAGCAAUGCCGCGUGCAGGAUGAAGGCCUUCGGGUUGUAAACUGCUUUUGUACGGAACGGAAAAGCUCCUUCUAAUACAGGGGGCCCAUGACGGUACCGUAAGAAUAAGCACCGGCUAACUACGUGCCAGCAGCCGCGGUAAUACGUAGGGUGCGAGCGUUAAUCGGAAUUACUGGGCGUAAAGCGUGCGCAGGCGGUUAUGUAAGACAGAUGUGAAAUCCCCGGGCUCAACCUGGGAACUGCAUUUGUGACUGCAUGGCUAGAGUACGGUAGAGGGGGAUGGAAUUCCGCGUGUAGCAGUGAAAUGCGUAGAUAUGCGGAGGAACACCGAUGGCGAAGGCAAUCCCCUGGACCUGUACUGACGCUCAUGCACGAAAGCGUGGGGAGCAAACAGGAUUAGAAACCCUAGUAGUCCCA
rnacentral:rRNA from 1 species